rnacentral:rRNA from 1 species
UACAGAGACUGCAAGCGUUAUUCGGAUUCACUGGGCGUAAAGGGUGCGCAGGCGGCCAAGUGUGUGAGGCGUGAAAGCCCGGAGCUUAACUCCGGAAUUGCACCUCAAACUACAUGGCUAGAGCAUUGGAGAGGGUAGCGGAAUUCACGGUGUAGCAGUGAAAUGCGUAGAUAUCAAGAGGAAUACCAGAGGUGAAGACGGGGUUGCUGGGCUGACACUGACGCUGAUGCGCGAAGCCAGGGGAGCAAACGGG